rnacentral:rRNA from 1 species
AGAGUUUGAUCCUGGCUCAGGACGAACGCUGGCGGCGUGCUUAACACAUGCAAGUCGAACGGAAAGGCCCCUUCGGGGGUACCCGAGUGGCGAACGGGUGAGUAACACGUGGGUGAUCUGCCCUGCACUUUGGGAUAAGCCUGGGAAACUGGGUCUAAUACCGAAUAGGACCGCAUGCUUCAUGGUGUGUGGUGGAAAGCUUUUGCGGUGUGGGAUGGGCCCGCGGCCUAUCAGCUUGUUGGUGGGGUAAUGGCCUACCAAGGCGACGACGGGUAGCCGGCCUGAGAGGGUGUCCGGCCACACUGGGACUGAGAUACGGCCCAGACUCCUACGGGAGGCAGCAGUGGGGAAUAUUGCACAAUGGGCGCAAGCCUGAUGCAGCGACGCCGCGUGGGGGAUGACGGCCUUCGGGUUGUAAACCUCUUUCAGUAUCGGCGAAGCUCCAGGAUUUUUCUUGGGGUGACGGUAGGUACAGAAGAAGCACCGGCCAACUACGUGCCAGCAGCCGCGGUAAUACGUAGGGUGCGAGCGUUGUCCGGAAUUACUGGGCGUAAAGAGCUCGUAGGUGGUUUGUCACGUUGUCCGUGAAAACUCACAGCUUAACUGUGGGCGUGCGGGCGAUACGGGCAGACUGGAGUACUGUAGGGGAGACUGGAAUUCCUGGUGUAGCGGUGGAAUGCGCAGAUAUCAGGAGGAACACCGGUGGCGAAGGCGGGUCUCUGGGCAGUAACUGACGCUGAGGAGCGAAAGCGUGGGGAGCGAACAGGAUUAGAUACCCUGGUAGUC